UACGAAGGGGGCUAGCGUUGUUCGGAAUUACUGGGCGUAAAGCGCACGUAGGCGGCUACUCAAGUCAGAGGUGAAAGCCCAGGGCUCAACCCUGGAACUGCCUUUGAAACUAGGUAGCUAGAAUCUUGGAGAGGUCAGUGGAAUUCCGAGUGUAGAGGUGAAAUUCGUAGAUAUUCGGAAGAACACCAGUGGCGAAGGCGACUGACUGGACAAGUAUUGACGCUGAGGUGCGAAAGCGUGGGGAGCAAACAGG
rnacentral:rRNA from 1 species